rnacentral:rRNA from 1 species
AAAGCCCCGCAAGGGGUAAGUAGAGUGGCAAACGGGUGAGUAACACGUGGGUGACCUGCCUUCGAGUGGGGGAUAACGUCCCGAAAGGGACGCUAAUACCGCAUGACAUCCUGCCUUUGAACAGGUGGAGAUCAAAGCUGGGGAUCGCAAGACCUAGCGCUCAAAGAGGGGCCCGCGCCUGAUUAGCUAGUUGGUGGGGUAACGGCUCACCAAGGCGACGAUCAGUAUCCGGCCUGAGAGGGCGGACGGACACACUGGGACUGAGACACGGCCCAGACUCCUACGGGAGGCAGCAGUGGGGAAUUGUUCGCAAUGGGCGCAAGCCUGACGACGCAACGCCGCGUGGAGGAUGAAGAUCUUCGGGUCGUAAACUCCUUUCGAUCGAGACGAAUGAUCUCCGGGUGAACAAUCCGGAGGAAUGACGGUACCGAGAGAAGAAGCCCCGGCUAACUCCGUGCCAGCAGCCGCGGUAAUACGGGGGGGGCAAGCGUUGUUCGGAAUUACUGGGCGUAUAGGGCUCGUAGGCGGCCAACUAAGUCAGACGUGAAAUCCCUCGGCUUAACCGGGGAACUGCGUCUGAUACUGGUUGGCUUGAAUCCGGGAGAGGGAUGUGGAAUUCCAGGUGUAGCGGUGAAAUGCGUAGAUAUCUGGAGGAACACCGGUGGCGAAGGCGGCAUCCUGGACCGGUAUUGACGCUGAGGAGCGAAAGCCAGGGGAGCAAACGGGAUUAGAUACCCCGGUAGUCCUGGCCCUAAACGAUGAAUGCUUGGUGUGGCGGGUAUCGAUCCCUGCCGUG